UCCGUCCUACACCUUGGGCAGGUAACAAUGC
rnacentral:piRNA from 1 species